rnacentral:rRNA from 1 species
AUUGAACGCUGGCGGCAUGCCUUACACAUGCAAGUCGAACGGCAGCACGGGGCAACCUGGUGGCGAGUGGCGAACGGGUGAGUAAUGCAUCUGAACGUACCAUUCAGUGGGGGAUAACGUAGCGAAAGUUACGCUAAUACCGCAUAUUCUGUGAGCAGGAAAGCAGGGGAUCGCACGCCCUUGCGCUGAUUGAGCGGUCGAAGUCAGAUUAGCUAGUCGGUGAGGUAAAGGAAAACCAAGGCGACGAUCUGAAGCGGGUCUGAGAGGAUGUUCCGACACACUGGAACAGAGACACGGUCCAGACUCCUACGGGAGGCAGCAGUGGGGAAUUUUGGACAAUGGGGGCAACCCUGAUCCAGCCAUGCCGCGUGAGUGAAGAUGGCCUUCGGGUUGUAAAGCUCUUUCGGCCGGGAAGAAAUCGCACGGGCUAAUACCCUGUGUUGAUGACGGUACCGGAAUAAGAAGCACCGGCUAACUACGUGCCAGCAGCCGCCGUAAAAC